AUCCACCACCAGAGGCGCUGUAAUCAUGCAUUAGUUGCAUCCUCAGCCGUGAGUUUAAGCCGUGUCGCUCGCAUCGCACAUUCUUAGCGACCAGCUCGAAGGCCGAAGAGAUUUUGUAAAUAUUGACGUGCAACAAAUCGCUGAUUACGGCGUUCACGACGCGAGUUUACCUCCACGCGGACGCGCAAAUCAUCGCCGACACAUUCCUCCACCAACCUGAGCAUGUAACUACUCCCGGCGGGCGUUUUCACGGAACAAUCGGAUGUUAUUGUCGCGUGUGCGCGCGCCAGCAACGGAACGGGGUUGGGCGGCCAUGUUGAUGUCUCGAUGAUGGGCUCGGGCUCGCCGUGCGGCUGUAAUGGCAAGUGAAUAAUCUCAACUCAUCACGACAUUCGUCUUGAAUGCCCGCAAAAGCAUCCGCUCAACGCGAGAAUUGAAUUCGCGGCGUGCAUGUGCACAUCUACGCUGUGUGCUGUUUGAUUCGGUGCGAAACAAAAGUUGUUUGUGCGAAAACAAGUGACACUCGUGUACACCAUGGAUGAGACGAAGGUGAUUUAUCAUAUUGACGAUGAGGAGACGCCGUAUCUGGUGAAGAUACCCAUUGGGCCUGAUAAGGUGACUCUGGCUGAUUUUAAGAACGUGUUGAAUCGGCCCAACUAUAAAUUCUUUUUCAAGUCCAUGGAUGAUGACUUUGGGGUUGUUAAAGAAGAAAUUAUUGAAGAUGGUGCACAAUUACCCUGUUUUAAUGGGCGUGUCGUCAGUUGGUUGGUGUCUGCUGAAGGCUCAAACCAAAGCGACGGCGGCUCCCAAUGCACCGACAGCGUAACCCACUCCAACGAACCCCGUAUUCCUCCACACCCCCAACCGCCGGAAUCAGUCUGCACCGACACGGAAAGCAUCAUAAGUUCACGCGCCGGCCGCCGCCACCACAAGUACUCCUCGCGCAUGAACGGCCACAUGCCGCGCUUAUACGAAACCGCGUCCAUCGUCAGCUCCGACCUGGAGAGCACCAGCUUCCAGUCGGAGACCACCGGCCGCCACACCGCGCUCUCGGAGUGCUCCAGCAUGAGUCGGCUGCACGUCGCCGGGCGCAAACGACCGCAGCGACGGAGAAAACAGCGCAUGCAAGCCAUGUCGCGCACAUCCUCGUAUUCCUCCAUUACGGACUCGACGAUGUCGUUGAAUAUCAUCACGGUGACGCUCAAUAUGGACACGGUGAACUUCCUGGGCAUUUCGAUUGUUGGACAGAGUAAUAAGGGUGGAGAUGGGGGGAUUUAUGUAGGAUCUAUUAUGAAAGGUGGUGCUGUCGCGUUGGAUGGACGAAUUGAGCCCGGCGAUAUGAUUUUGCAAGUGAAUGAUGUCAACUUUGAGAAUAUGUCGAAUGAUGAAGCUGUGCGUGUCCUAAGGGAGGUUGUGCAGAAGCCCGGGCCUAUUAAGCUGGUCGUGGCGAAGUGCUGGGACCCGAAUCCUAAGGGGUACUUUACGAUACCACGGACUGAACCAGUCAGGCCGAUUGAUCCAGGUGCAUGGGUGGCACACACAGCAGCCGUAAGAGGUGAUCCAGUCGCACGCCCGCCCAGCAGCAGCACCGUCUCCAGCGCGUCCAUAGCCAGCACCAUCCCGGCGAACGAACGUGAGUGUCUGCUAGGUCCUGUGACUGGCGUGUUGGUAGAUCUGGACGAGCCGCUGCACGUCUCGGCGCCGAUGCACACGGUGGUGGCGGCGAUGGCGCGCCCCGACAGCGGCCUGGAGAUCCGCGACCGCAUGUGGCUGAAGAUCACCAUACCGAACGCGUUCAUCGGCACCGACAUGAUCGACUGGCUGCUGACGCACGUCGAGGGAUUCCAGGAUCGGCGUGAUACGCGCAAAUAUGCGUCGCAUCUCUUGAAGUCUGGGUUUAUACGGCACACUGUGAAUAAGAUCACGUUCUCCGAGCAGUGUUACUAUAUCUUUGGGGAUUUAUGCGCGGCGAUGUCCAGCUUGAAGCUGCAGGGGGAUACGGACAGUGUGGGCCCGCUGCCGAAUGUCCCGAAUUACAUGCCGUAUUCGGGCACGUAUAAUCCGUUGGAGUAUAUGCCGAUGCCGUUCUACACUGCCAGUGAGAAUACUGUUUAUGGGUAUAAUCGAGAGGAGAGCGUGCUUAGUGGUAGUGGUGGAUCUUCCGGUGGUUCCGAGCAUUUGAAAGACGCAGCAGCCGCCGCACACAGCUCCGCCUCCGACAGCGACCUCACCUCCCUCGGCCCCCGCUCCGCCCUGCCCAUGGCCGCCGGCAACAACGGCACCAGUAUCGGCGGCGGCAAUGGCAACGGCUCCUCGAACGGAUCGGAUCAGAGCAGCGGUACGCAGGUGGCGGCUCAGUCGAAGGAUCUAGCCGUUUUAAGUUACCUGUAGUGCGCGCGCAACUACCGUUCAUAUCAUCACAAACACACAAAACUCAUAAACAUUAAAAGUCUCUUUAUAUUAUAACAAUUUCCACAGACACACUGUAUGUAAAUGAAGUGCGAUUGUAAUAUUCAUCAUCACAACCGUAUACCACCGUAUCGUAGCAUAAGUUUUAUCAUUUGAUGUUUUCUGAUGCUGGUAGCCUGUGCGGAUAUCAGUUUGCGCAGACAUAAUCGCAAUUCAAGACUGAAGAAUUGGGAAUUAAUAAUCGUUGCGACGAGUGACGAGAUAAGUUUAUGUAAGGAUUUUCGAAGUGGCGAGAGAGGGUUUUGAUGGUUGAUUUGCGUGGUUAGCGACGAUUGGGUUUUCGAUUUGUGGGGUUGUUAAUAUUUUUGUACGUUUUCUACGUUCCUAUAUUGCCAUUUAGUCGUUUGGGUACCUAAACUAGGGGAAAAUGCGUAAAAUUUGUGUUUUAUGUUGGUUUUGUAUUAAUUAUUCAGUGCGUUGCCAAAAAUUCAUCAAACUUGUAUCAAUUGACGGUUAAAGAAUGGUUUUAUCAUGGGGAAGUAUAAAUUUGAAGGAAAUUUGUGUGAAUAUGUUGAAAAUUAAGUGUUUUGGCAGUUGGUGAUUUUAAUGCUCGUAAUUUAGGUUUUUGGGCUUUAACUUUUGAACUAUUUGUCAAAUAUUGAUCAAAUUUUUGGCAAAACCUAGAUAAAGUCAUGCUUUAUCUCGGGGAGUAUUAACUUUUUGUGAAAAUUUGUGAGAAAAUGUCAAAAAUUAAUUUUUUCGGAGGUUUUGCAGUUUAUGCUUAAAAAAACAACUUUAGUUUUUUGGUCAUAAUUUUUGAGCCAGUUGUCGAAUGUUUAUCAAACUAGCAUCAAAACAUAGCCAAAGAAAAGCACUUACCUAGAUAAUAUAAGAUUUGAAUGAAUUUUGUUGUGAAAGUGCCGAAAAUUUAGAUUUUCUGUGAAUUUUGCUGUUUUUGCGAUAAAACUACCAACUUUUC